rnacentral:rRNA from 1 species
UGGGGAAUUUUGGACAAUGGGCGAAAGCCUGAUCCAGCAAUGCCGCGUGUGUGAAGAAGGCCUUCGGGUUGUAAAGCACUUUUGUCCGGAAAGAAAUCCUUGGCUCUAAUACAGUCGGGGGAUGACGGUACCGGAAGAAUAAGCACCGGCUAACUACGUGCCAGCAGCCGCGGUAAUACGUAGGGUGCAAGCGUUAAUCGGAAUUACUGGGCGUAAAGCGUGCGCAGGCGGUUUGCUAAGACCGAUGUGAAAUCCCCGGGCUCAACCUGGGAACUGCAUUGGUGACUGGCAGGCUAGAGUAUGGCAGAGGGGGGUAGAAUUCCACGUGUAGCAGUGAAAUGCGUAGAGAUGUGGAGGAAUACCGAUGGCGAAGGCAGCCCCCUGGGCCAAUACUGACGCUCAUGCACGAAAGCGUGGGGAGCAAACAGGAUUAGAUACCCUGGUAGUCCACGCCCUAAACGAUGUCAGCUAGUUGUUGGGGAUUCAUUUCUAGUAACGUAGCUAACGCGUGAAGUUGACCGCCUGGGGAGUACGGUCGCAAGAUUAAAACUUAAAGGAAUUGACGGGGUCAUAGCUGUUUCCU